rnacentral:rRNA from 1 species
AUUCCAGCUCCAAUAGCGUAUAUUAAAGUUGUUGCAGUUAAAACGCUCGUAGUUCGAUUUCUGUGGGCAGACUUUGGAAAACCCUGCGGGGUGAUCCGCGUCUGUUCACAUCCUUCUGUUAACCUUGCGGUCUUUCAUUAGUCCGCUUGGAGCUCAGAUACUUUACCUUGAGGAAAUUAGAGUGUUUCAGGCAGGCUUGCGCCGGAAUACAUUAGCAUGGAAUAAUAGAACAGGACUCCUUUUCAUUGUUGGUCUAUGAUGGGAGUAAUGAUUAAUAGGGAUAGUUGGGGGCAUUAGUAUUUCAGUGUCAGAGGUGAAAUUCUUUAAUUUCUGAAAGACUAACUUAUGCGAAAGCAUUUGCCAAGAAUGUUUUCAUUG